AGGACGAACGCUGGCGGCGUGCCUAACACAUGCAAGUCGAACGAGGUCCAUCCGGUAGCAAUACUGGUGAAGAUCAAGUGGCGAACGGGUGAGUAGCACGUGAGCAACCUGCCCCGAAGACCGGGACAACACCGGGAAACCGGUGCUAAUACCGGAUAUCCCCACCGAGUCGCAUGGCUUGGUGAGGAAAUGGAUUCCGCUUCGGGAGGGGCUCGCGGCCUAUCAGCUUGUUGGUGAGGUAAUGGCUCACCAAGGCUUCGACGGGUAGCUGGUCUGAGAGGACGAUCAGCCACACUGGGACUGAGACACGGCCCAGACUCCUACGGGAGGCAGCAGUGGGGAAUCUUGCACAAUGGGCGAAAGCCUGAUGCAGCAACGCCGCGUGAGGGACGAAGGCUUUCUGAGUUGUAAACCUCUUUCAGCAGGGACGAUUGUGACGGUACCUGCAGAAGAGCCCGGCAACUACGUGCCAGCAGCCGCGGUAAU
rnacentral:rRNA from 1 species